AAACAAAGGAAAAGAAAAAAAAUAAAAAAGAAAAAAAGAAAGAAAAGAAAACAAAUCAAAAAGAGGGCUUCAUCUUGUUCUUCUCCUUCCCUUUGCCCUAGCCGCCACCCACCCCACCCUCUUCUUCUCUUCUCCUCUUCCGGUGACGUUCCUCCAGCCGACGACCCUCCCCUACGUACGACGAUGUUCCUUCGCGGCGGUGCGAUUUCUCGACAGCAGCUGCGGCACAACGACCUGCAGCAGCCACGAUCUUCCUUGGCGUCUCCCCAUCCAUGUUCGGCCGCACGACAGAACACCCGCGACCCGAAUCAUUGGCAGCAGCGAGUUGGGCAUUCUCUGCGACGAUGUUAUCAGCAAACGGCGUUCUCCAUAUCUGGCGCCACCCCUCCCUCUGAGCGGCGUUUUGCAGCGUUCUAGUGAUCUAGCCUUCGCGGUGGCGCGUCUUCGCCGAACACCUUGAUCCGAUUUCAGAUCCGGUGUUCCUCCCUCAGUAGUCGCGACGUUCCAUCAGCAACCCAACAGUGGCGCACCUCGACACAUAGUUUCACAAACACCUGCUGUUUUCUUUCGGUGAUUCAGAAACAACGGGUUUCGGUGACAUUCGACGCUUACCCAUCGUUGUUUUAAGCUCGACAAGUGAUACCCACCCCUUCAACGUUGUUUCGGCACUGACCCACCUCUUUCCGGACCCAAACUAGCGUUACCCAUCGCUUUUCGACAUCGAACAAGCCAGCGUAAGGCCUUUCGAACUCGAUUUUAAGAGCCCAAACCUCCUCGGUGUCUACCAACUCCUAACCCAAGUAGUUUUAGUGUGAGUUAUAGGGAAUCCUUCGGCGAGCUUGGUAGCGUCAGGGCCAUUGUGUGAAGAAUUUGUUGGCGACCAUGGUGAUGAGACGGAAGAGACAUGACGAGCGAGGACCAUAAGCUGCGUAGUUACUUUUGCUUAGCUUAAGGUUUAGAUGGUUAAGACCCUAUGUUUUGGUCGAUAAACUAUUUGAUCUUAUCUGAAUAAUUGGGAGGUUCCCACUUGUUGUUUAUUUUAUUUCAAGAUAAGUGUUUAUUUUAGUUUUCUUCCA